rnacentral:rRNA from 1 species
UCUCCUACGGGAGGCAGCAGUGGGGAAUAUUGGACAAUGGGCGCAAGCGUGAUCCAGCAAUGCCGCGUGUGUGAAGAAGGCCUUCGGGUUGUAAAGCACUUUUAUCAGGAGCGAAAUACCGCGGGUUAAUAACCUACGGGGCUGACGGUACCUGAGGAAUAAGCACCGGGUAAAUUCGUGCCAGCAGCCGCGGUAAUACGAAGGGUGCAAGCGUUAAUUGGAAUUACUGGGGGUAAAGGGUGCGUAGGCGGUUGUUUAAGUCUGUCGUGAAAUCCCCGGGCUCAACCUGGGAAUGGCGAUGGAUACUGGGCAGCUAGAGUGUGUCAGAGGAUGGUGGAAUUCCCGGUGUAGCGGUGAAAUGCGUAGAGAUCGGGAGGAACAUCAGUGGCGAAGGCGGCCAUCUGGGACAACACUGACGCUGAAGCACGAAAGCGUGGGGAGCAAACAGGAUUAGAUACCCUGGUAGUCCACGCCCUAAACGAUNNGANCUGGAUGUUGGUUCUCUNUUG